GACGAACGCUGGCGGCGUGCUUAACACAUGCAAGUCGAACGAAGUGGCGAACGGGUGAGUAACGCGUAAUCAACCUGCCCUUCAGAGGGGGACAACAGUUGGACACGACUGCUAAUACCGCAUACUGAAGGGGGGGAUUGCGUCUGUUUCGGUAGUUGGAGGGGUAACGGCCCACCAAGGCGAUGAUCAGUAGCCGGGCUGAGAUGAUGAACGGCCACAUUGGGACUGGGAAAAGGCCCAGACUCCUACGGGAGGCAGCAGGGGGGAAUCUUCCGCAAUGGACGAAAGUCUUGCGCAGCAACGCCGCGUGAGUGAUGACGGCCUUCGGGAUGUUAAGCUCUGUUAAUCGGGACGCGGUACCGGAAUAGAAAGCCACGGCUAACUACGUGCCAGCAGCCGCGGUAAUAC
rnacentral:rRNA from 1 species